UACGAAGGGGGCUAGCGUUGUUCGGAUUUACUGGGCGUAAAGCGCACGUAGGCGGAUCGAUCAGUCAGGGGUGAAAUCCCAGAGCUCAACUCUGGAACUGCCUUUGAUACUGUCGAUCUGGAGUAUGGAAGAGGUGAGUGGAACUGCGAGUGUAGAGGUGAAAUUCGUAGAUAUUCGCAAGAACACCAGUGGCGAAGGCGGCUCACUGGUCCGGUUCUGACGCUGAGGCGCGAAAGCGUGGGGAGCAAACAGG
rnacentral:rRNA from 1 species